AUUGAACGCUGGCGGCAGGCCUAACACAUGCAAGUCGAACGAGUGGCGGACGGGUGAGUAAUGUCUGGGAAACGGCCCGAUGGAGGGGGAUAACUACUGGAAACGGUAGCUAAUACCGCAUACCAUCGGAUGUGCCCAGAGGGGAUUAGCUAGUAGGUGGGGUAACGGCUCACCUAGGCGACGAUCCCGAGCUGGUCUGAGAGGAUGACCAGCUGCACUGGAACUGAGGGACGGUCCAGCGGCCUACGCGCGGAAGCAGUGGGGAAUAGGGCACAAUGGGCGCAAGCCUGAUACACCCAUGCCGCGUGUAUGAAUAAGGCCUUCGGGUUGUAAGGUACUUUCAGCGAGGCGGGGUUACGCGCAGAAGAAGCACCGGCUAACUCCGUGCCAGCAGCCGCGGUAAUUC
rnacentral:rRNA from 1 species